AUUAGUUUUGAAGGCUUCUCAGACCGUUCUUGCUUCUUUUAUUAUCUUUUCAGAACGAAAAGAAGGAGUGUGAACUGAUGCUGCCUAGCCUUCUGAGUGCUUCCAACAACUGUUAUUUGAUUUUCACUUAAAACUUUCAUUGAGUAGAAAAAGAAAUAGAAAAAAAAAAUUCAGUUUGGUAUGUGGAUAAGACCAGAAAUAAAGUACUACAGACAUUCUUAGAAAACUAAAAACUGGGAGAAUGAAUUAAGAGCAAAGUAACAAUGAAGUAGAAAUUAAAGGCACUAAAGAGGACUUGUUAAAUUUUCAACAACAACACUUAACAGUACCAAGUUACAGUUUAAUGCUGAGACACACCCCAGGAUGUACUGGGACACAUCAUCAGCGAUCAGGUGUUUCAGGUCUUUCAACAUGAGACACUCUCACCCAGGGUUGAUCAGGCCUUGGCUUGUGUCCCUGCUCAGCCACACACUUCUUGACCCAUAGCCAUCUGGAGGCUAGCUUAAUAUCCUCUGUGACAGUCCUGAUGGCUCUUUUCUUUGCAGCCCCUGUAAUGCCAAGGAGAGAGUUGGUUCCACACAUAGAGGAGCCAGCAAAACCUCAAUACCCCACAUCUGUAGACUUGCAUUGUGCCCUUCACCCCUGUCUCUAGCACUGCUCUACCAGCUCAUGGUAUUUCUUAAACUCCUCAAUUGAAAUUUAAAUAAUAUGUUGAACUUGUUUUAAUCAAGUAAUUGUUAACUGAUUUCUUAAGUUAUCAAUAAAAUUUUAAAAGUGCAUUUAAGUACAGUCCUCUUCCCCUCCUUCCAUCCUCAUUGAAUUUGUAACUUACUGAGCUUAUCCACAACUAGAGGCAUCUGCCAGCUGCUGAUCUCUUAAUGUCCAUCCCAUUUAAGUUAUUACAUUAUCUAAGUCUCCUGGGGCCAUUGGGAAUGAUAUCCUCAUAGAAUUUAUUUGUACUGUCCAUUAUCCCACCAAGCUUGCCUACAAAUUGCAGGCUAAGCCUGAAGCAUGAUGGAAAUCUUUGUAAAGCAAAGUACAUAACAACAAUUCUUGAGCAGUUUUCUAGGGAGCUUUGCAAUGUUCCCACCAUUUCAUGGCUCUGGAGACGGGAGAAUCGGAGAUUGGUGUCCGAGCAGGAGAUUGGAGUGUCAUCGGAGAUGGAAGAUCUAAGGCUGUGUGCCCAGAGACCCGAGAUCUUUGGGCCAGAGCCCAGAAAAAGUGAUGCAACAGACUUUGAACAUCAUAAACCAAGAGCACCUGACUGAAGGCAUAAGGGAGUGCAACUCUCCUAAGAACAACACUACUAAGGUUCACGGAGUUUUACCGCCUCACCUUGUGAAUACCAUAUAGGGCAAUAUUACUUCAGUGUAAUAACGGACCUUGUGUGUGCACCCCUUUAUGUAUGAGCAUAUGCAUAUACAAUGUGAACAGUAAUUCAUACUAUUCUCCUACAAGAAGAAAUACCACAUGAAGUGGAAAUUUAUAACACAAAAGAAUGUCAGUGCAAAAAUUCUGUUCAGAAAUCCUGUAAGAAUUUGUUCUGAAACUAAUUAUAAGUCAGGCUAAUGGCUUUAAUCCAUAUCCUAUUUAUCUGUAAUGAUGUGAAAAUUCACACUCAAGAAUAAAAUGCCUGU